rnacentral:lncRNA from 13 species
UGAAAAACUCUUCUAAUGGAAUCCAGCUUGAAAGCUACUCAAGAGCAGCUAACUGAGCAAAUAGCAGAAACAGUUUGCCAAGAACAGAACAGUAGAAAACCCCAGGCAGAGCUGAAGACAGUGACAGAAGGGAUUAUUGCUUCUGAAGAAGAAAAAAAUGAUUACAAGUUUCCUGAGGCCUCCCAGUCAAGAUUCCUGUUAAACUGUCAAACUAAUCUCCUAUUUUUUACCGUCUGUUACAACUUCAUUGCAGGAAGUGUGAAAGUGAAUGGAAAUUGUGUUGAUAAUGAAAUGUCAGUACAGGAAUUGAAUGUCAGCUGUAGUGCUCAGAAGAAUAAGAGGAAAU